UACGGAAGGCAGCAGGGGGAAUAUUGCACAAUGGGCGCAAGCCUGAUGCAGCCAUGCCGCGUGUAUGAAGAAGGCCUUCGGGUUGUAAAGUACUUUCAGUCGUGAGGAAGGUGUUAAGGUUAAUAACCUUAGCAAUUGACGUUAGCGACAGAAGAAGCACCGGCUAACUCCGUGCCAGCAGCCGCGGUAAUACGGAGGGUGCGAGCGUUAAUCGGAAUUACUGGGCGUAAAGGGCACGCAGGCGGUUAAUUAAGUUGGAUGUGAAAUCCCCGGGCUUAACCUGGGAAUGGCAUUCAAGACUGGUUAGCUAGAGUCUUGUAGAGGGGGUAGAAUUCCAUGUGUAGCGGUGAAAUGCGUAGAGAUGUGGAGGAAUACCGGUGGCGAAGGCGGCCCCUGGACAAAGACUGACGCUCAUGUGCGAAAGCGUGGGGAGCAAAAC
rnacentral:rRNA from 1 species